GCCUACGGGACGCAGCAGUGAGGAAUAUUGGUCAAUGGGCGCGAGCCUGAACCAGCCAAGUCGCGUGAGGGAUGACGGUCCUACGGAUUGUAAACCUCUUUUGCCGGGGAGCAAGCGUGCGUUCGUGAACGCGCGUCGAGAGUACCCGGAGAAAAAGCAUCGGCUAACUCCGUGCCAGCAGCCGCGGUAAUACGGAGGAUGCGAGCGUUAUCCGGAUUUAUUGGGUUUAAAGGGUGCGUAGGCGGCGCUUCAGGUCAGCGGUGAAAUACCGGGGCUCAACCCCGGGGCUGCCGUUGAAACCGGAG
rnacentral:rRNA from 1 species